UACGUAGGGUGCGAGCGUUAAUCGGAAUUACUGGGCGUAAAGCGUGCGCAGGCGGUUUUGUAAGCCAGAUGUGAAAUCCCCGGGCUUAACCUGGGAAUGGCAUUUGGGGACUGCAAGGCUGGAGUGUGGCAGAGGAGACUGGAAUUCCUGGUGUAGCAGUGAAAUGCGUAGAUAUCAGGAGGAAUACCGAUGGCGAAGACAGGUCUCUGGGCUGACACUGACGCUCAUGCACGAAAGCGUGGGGAGC
rnacentral:rRNA from 1 species